CGCUGCACAUACGUAGAUUUCAACGAUUUAGGCGGCCAAAACCCAGUUUUCCAAAAUCAAUCUAUUGAAAAAUAAACCAUGUACGCGGGUAGUACACACUUCCAGGAAUACCAUGGUACCUUUUUCAAUGUUCAACGAGCGCAAAUCUACCCUCUAGAGUAGUCUGAAUGCGAUAGUUCGCUUAACGUGUAUGUAUUUGUUUUCGGGCGCUCUUAAACUUACAACUUUUGUAUAGCCUGACCAGGAACAUAAAAACCCUCGCCAUGUUGCGGAAAACUAAUGGUACUAAUUUCUUUUAAUGGCAACAGUAACUGAAAACUUCAUUGACAUGUCACCUUGCAUGUCAGUCUAUUGCUGUCAAAGUGUAAACAAACUUUAUUUUAAAUGUGCGCAAUUGGUUUUAUGAAUUAAAUUGCUAAAAUAUUUUUAUAGUCGUGAAAGAAAAGUGGUUCACAAUGUGUUAAAGUAUUUGUCGAAGAGAAAUACUAAGGGUUCGGACAAUAUUUUCAUUGAAUAAUGUUUCCGACAAAGGUUGUCAAAUUGACUGACAUGUUUAUCGUAUAGUACAGUCCACUAUGAAAAUUAGCUGUGGUUUGUUUCAACUACCUAUUUUAAAAAUUUUGUCACUUUCUAAGUGUUGAAUUUUAUGGGAUUGGGAAAGAAGUACCGAGUUUGAAGCGUUCAUGAGCAGACAUUGCAGUUGAAUAUUCAAGUUCUGAAUUUGAUUAUUGAUGAAUAAUAAAAUAAAUCUACUAGCUCGAUUGAUGGUUUCAUUUAAUUUAUUUAAAUCAGGUUACCUAUAAUAAUAUUUUUUCGUUAAUUUAUGAAAAUAUUAAAUUAGCCCGUAAUCCUGAAUCCUGAUACAUAAAGUUAGCCUAUUAAUUUAACACAGGUACGACUGUACUCAGUGUUGCACUAUCAAAUGCAAUUGAAGCGCCUCUAUGCCAGGGUUUUUAUGUUCCUGGUCAGGCUAUAGUUGAAAAAUUUUGAAAAAAGGCCUUUUGAAAAUUCCCCGUGGUUAAAACGGAAACAUAAAGGUUACCAAUUCGAAUUAAGAUUAUUGAAGAAUUUGGAAAGAUUUUGAAAAAGUUUUAUUUUAAGUAGAAUAGUUUUUAUAUCUAAGUGCAUUAAGCGUGGAAAAACUAAUAUAAAUGUAGGGCUUUGCACGGUGGCUCACUAAACAUGGGUUAGAUCAAAA